UGGAUCAGUGGCGAACGGGUGAGUAACACGUGAGCAAUCUGCCCCUGACUCUGGGAUAACAGUUGGAAACAGCUGCUAAUACCGGAUACGAGACGUGACCGCAUGGUCAACGUUUGGAAAGAACUUCGGUCAGGGAUGAGCUCGCGGCCUAUCAGCUUGUUGGUGAGGUAAUGGCUCACCAAGGCGUCGACGGGUAGCCGGCCUGAGAGGGUGACCGGCCACACUGGGACUGAGACACGGCCCAGACUCCUACGGGAGGCAGCAGUGGGGAAUAUUGCACAAUGGGCGAAAGCCUGAUGCAGCAACGCCGCGUGAGGGACGACGGCCUUCGGGUUGUAAACCUCUUUUAGCAGGGAAGAAGCGAAAGUGACGGUACCUGCAGAAAAAGCGCCGGCUAACUACGUGCCAGCAGCCGCGGUAAUACGUAGGGCGCAAGCGUUAUCCGGAAUUAUUGGGCGUAAAGAGCUCGUAGGCGGUUUGUCGCGUCUGCUGUGAAAACUGGAGGCUCAACCUCCAGCCUGCAGUGGGUACGGGCAGACUAGAGUGCGGUAGGGGAGAUUGGAAUUCCUGGUGUAGCGGUGGAAUGCGCAGAUAUCAGGAGGAACACCGAUGGCGAAG
rnacentral:rRNA from 1 species